UACGUAGGGUGCAAGCGUUGUCCGGAAUUAUUGGGCGUAAAGCGCACGUAGGCGGCUUUGUAAGUCGGAUGUGAAAUCCCUCGGCUUAACCAAGGAAGUGCAUCCGAAACUACAGAGCUUGAGUACUUAAGAGGAUCGCGGAAUUCCCGGUGUAGAGGUGAAAUUCGUAGAUAUCGGGAGGAACACCAGUGGCGAAGGCGGCUCACUGGCCCGGUACUGACGCUGAGGAGCGAAAGCCAGGGGGAGCAAACGGG
rnacentral:rRNA from 1 species